GACAAGAUGGCGUUCCCGUGCCAAAAUUCACUCGGUUGUUCAAGGUGACUCAGGGCUCUAGGAAUGGCUGAUUUGGUCUUUAUAGAAUAAGGAUAUCCCCAGGGUUUGAAGAGUUAGCCAGUUCUCUAUAGCUACUUCCUAUGUCUAAAAGAGAGUGAGACACUGGUAUGAGUUCUACCUUCUCUUGUCAUGCUUUUCCCUUGAGUUGCUAGUAGUGUUUGUUGCAUCUCUACCCCUUCAUGCUUCUACUGGGUGGUUGGGCUGAAUAAGGGUAUCUAUUUGCUUUGAAGCAAUCAGAUAUUUCACAAGAGGUUUCAAUCAAAGGAGUUCAUCCUUAUUUUUCUUGGCGCUUGUUGGCCAUGAUGAACCCAACAGUGGUGGUGGUGAUGUUGGAGUAACUAGCUAUUUGAGCUUGUUGUACCAUUUGCCUCUAACUGUUAGGCUUGGGAGCCCUAUUUUUAGGUGUUGG
rnacentral:misc_RNA from 1 species